rnacentral:rRNA from 1 species
GAUGAACGCUGGCGGCGUGCCUAAUACAUGCAAGUCGAGCGAACGGACGAGAAGCUUGCUUCUCUGAUGUUAGCGGCGGACGGGUGAGUAACACGUGGAUAACCUACCUAUAAGACUGGGAUAACUUCGGGAAACCGGAGCUAAUACCGGAUAAUAUUUUGAACCGCAUGGUUCAAAAGUGAAAGACGGUCUUGCUGUCACUUAUAGAUGGAUCCGCGCUGCAUUAGCUAGUUGGUAAGGUAACGGCUUACCAAGGCAACGAUGCAUAGCCGACCUGAGAGGGGGAUCGGCCACACGGGAGCUGAGACACGGUCCAGACUCCUACGGGAGGCAGCAGUAGGGAAUCUUCCGCAAUGGGCGAAAGCCUGACGGAGCAACGCCGCGUGAGUGAUGAAGGUCUUCGGAUCGUAAAACUCUGUUAUUAGGGAAGAACAUAUGUGUAAGUAACUGUGCACAGCUUGACGGUACCUAAUCAGAAAGCCACGGCUAACUACGUG